UACGGAGGAUCCAAGCGUUAUCCGGAAUCAUUGGGUUUAAAGGGUCCGUAGGCGGUUUAAUAAGUCAGUGGUGAAAGCCCAUCGCUCAACGGUGGAACGGCCAUUGAUACUGUUAAACUUGAAUUAUUAGGAAGUAACUAGAAUAUGUAGUGUAGCGGUGAAAUGCUUAGAGAUUACAUGGAAUACCAAUUGCGAAGGCAGGUUACUACUAAUGGAUUGACGCUGAUGAACGAAAGCGUGGGUAGCGAACAGG
rnacentral:rRNA from 1 species